AUGGUCGCCGCCCCCAUCCCCGCCGCCGGCGAGGCGACCCCGCCCCCGGAACCGCCCCCGUCCCGCGUAUCCGUUCGUUCCUCCUCUUCUUCCUCCCGGCGCCGAUGCGCCCUCUCGAGCCGUUUCCGCGAGCCGGCGAGCCCGCGGCGCCACGCGUGGGUCUCCCUCCAGGGCCGCCUCGUCGCCGCCGAGGAGGCGGCGUCCGCCGAAGCGGCCGCGCCGGGCCUAGCGCCAGAUGAGGCGACGGCGUGGGAGCUCUUCAGCCCGAUGCACCGCGUUCUCCUCGUCGCCACCGUGGCGGCCGCCUCCUCCCGCUCCCACGCUGCCCGCCGCAUCGAGCAGCUCCAGCGAUCGAUCCAUUUCAGGGAUGAGGUGCUGCAAAGCAUGCAGCAGAAGCUGGAUGAUCUGUUGGGCGAGAUGCACUCCCUGCAACAGCAAUAUGUCAAGUGCGACAGCUUCAUUUCCACCCAGAGUGAAAAGGUUGAGCUGGUGAGCAGCAAGAAGCUAAUGGAUGAGGAGGGAACCAGAUGCUGCGUGUGCUCACAACCAGUGACUGCUGCUACUCCUUACAAGACAAAGGAUUUCUGUGGAAUGGAUGAUGCAAAGAGCGAUGUAGUUGAUAGGACUAGUGUAAGUCUUGUGGAUCAUGAGGAGCGCCGGAUGUCGGAUCUCUCAGACAUUUGGAGUGUCGUAUCCUCUGUGGAUAAUCAUUUAAACGGGGACAAUCAGCUAAGUUCACUGGCAGCAGAACAAGAGUUGUAUAACAUUCAGGAGUGUGAAGAGAAGGAUGCGAUUAUAAAGGAACUGACUGCAGCUGCACAUACAUCUAGCACUGCUGAUGCCAAGAGAAUUGCAGAGCUGCAGGAUAUUCUCAAAAGGAAAAACAUGGUGAUAUCCAAACUGAAGAAAGACAUGUCAGCUCUGAAGCAGAUGGUUGUUGAACUAACAAGGGCUAAAAGAGCAUCUUCUGUCAACUUAAAUACAGCCUGCUCUGAAGUCCCAGUGAUGUCAAGCAAUAUUUUAUAUGAUAUGAGCAGCACUAGCCCAUCAUCAUCGGAUUCUGAGUCUCUUGUAACAGCGAGAGAAUACCUUAAUGUGCAGCUCACUGACGGCACUCCAGGAGACUGUGAAUCCACAGGAAGCUCUAGAGUAUCAGUGCGAAAAACAUCUCUUCCUCCAGCAAAAUCAUCAGUGCGCUCGACUGUCCCACUCAAAGAGAAAUGUUUAAAUCCAAAAGUGGAAACAAGUUUCGUUGGUAGACAGAAGCAACUUAUAUCCUCUAAUGGAGACUUUAAAAAGACUAGACGACAAAGUCACCAAGAUUCAAGGAAUAAAGCUACAAAGAGAUGGAUAUAG
rnacentral:rRNA from 1 species